GUCAACGAUCCCCACGCAUGAAUGCGGGGGCUUGUCCCUUGUGUUGAUGCCGUUUUCGUUGUCCAGCCGAGGUGCCAGAGCCCGCAGGCAAGGCGCUGAUUGGCACCAGCGUUACGCUCGUCAUGACACCCAGUCGUGCUUCCUCAGCGGCUGGCGCUGUC
rnacentral:sRNA from 21 species